GAUGAAGAACGCAGCGAAAUGCGAUAAGUAAUGUGAAUUGCAGAAUCCCGUGAAUCAUCGAAUCUUUGAACGCACAUUGCGCCCCCUGGCAUUCCGGGGGGCAUGCCUGUCCGAGCGUCAUUUCUGCCCUCCAGCCCGGCUGGGUGUUGGGCGCUGUCCCCCCGGGGACACGCCCCAAAGGCAGUGGCGGCGCCGCGUCGGGUCCUCGAGCGUAUGGGGCUUUGUCACCCGCUCGGGACGGACUCGUCGGCGCUGGUCUUCCUCCAGGCGACCCUUCGGGGCUCGUCUUCCUUCGGUUGACCUCGGAUCAGGUAGGGUUACCCGCUGAACUUAAGCAUAUCAAUAAGCGGAGGA
rnacentral:misc_RNA from 1 species